ACUAUAUUUUGAAUUCCAAUGUCCUUUGAUGCCUGACACAUCGACAUUACUAUAUCGUUAUAAUUAGCUGAACCUGAGCUUAAGGAAGGCUUGAAAACAAUUUGAAGAGGUGCUUAAAAUGAUUGCAUAAUUUCAGUCUUAAGGAUAUCUGACAUCUGCAUACUUGUGUUUUGUAACUUUAAUUAUGUGCAUUAAACAUAGCUUUACUAAAAUAUGACCAAACUUUAAAUCAUCUGUGGCUUUGAUCCUCUGGCAUACCAUAGUAACAUAGUCUUAGAUGUUAGUUUGUGUGGAUAACUAUCCAGAAGAAAAAUAUUCUAACCAUGCCUCAUUUAGAACAAUUAAAAGUUAGAUUU